GGGGGGUUCCAACUAUAUGUUCCCAUUCAAAUGCAUUGAUCAUCCAAAAUUAAAGGGGGGUUCCAUCCAUGAACCCCCUCCCUGGAUUCGUCACUGAAGUUAAUAAUUCCAGUGUUAUGUUUAAGUUUAUUGGUCGACCUCAUGAUAACCAAAUAUUGACUGAUUUCAUUUUGGUUAUGUUGUAACUGAAUUUGUGCAGGGAAAAAUGCAUCAUUCUAAUAUGAAAUGAAUACUUCUGAUCAUUUGUGCAGGAUGUAAACUUGACCUUUCACUCUCAUAAAUUAAAUUAACUUAUAAAGUCCUUUGUAUUUAACCCUGUGAUUCAGUUAGUUUAGCACAAAAAUAAGUUCCUUCAAACUUUACUUUCAUACUGUUGUAACAACCCUGCAUACCUCAAGGUAUCCACUUUAAGGAUUCUAUCGUAUUUAAGAUUUACCAGGUGUUGGUUCACUGUUUGUUAUGUUA
rnacentral:lncRNA from 1 species